GACUCGAGAAAUUUCUCCUGAGACACAGAGGCUUCUAGGUUUCUCCUUGGACACUGACAUAUCGGCUUGAAAUGCCCAAGGAGAGUUGGCUGUGACACGGAUGCUCUGGGGCUGCUGACAUCAAACUCCAGGACCCAGCCUAUAAGGGCCUAGGAAGAAAGUUUCAAUUCUCAAACUAAGCAACUCUCUACAAUGUGAUCUGAGGACUAAGCUAUUAUUACCCAGGGUCCUCCCUGCUCCACGGCAGCCCUUCCGUUAAACUGAAGGGUUCCUUCUAAGCCACAAGCCCCACACCGGCUCAGACCUCUUCACUGGGACUGCGUUUCCUGUACCCGGUUCCUCUUGGCUCACAAAUAUUCCCCGUGGAAAGGGGUAGACACGAACAGUGGGGAAGGAGAGAUCUCUGUUAACAAACACCAGCUCCAGAAGACAUGCCCAGGAAAAUUCCAGAGGAGGCCACUAGGAAUGGAAGUGUUUGGCAGAGCUAUGGCUGGCACAAGGACAGGGGUGGUUCCCUAGUCCCCAUCAAUCCCCACUGUUCAGAUUCUGAAUCGGCCAGCUGACUCUGGCUUUCUGAAACAAACACAUUCCUGGCUGCUGGGAGCCCAGUGACACGCUCUCUGCUAUGAACACGGUUCUCUUCCUGGUCUAGUCAGUACGUGCUUUCUUCAUUGUUUUCUGCAGCCUUGUGUCUGGAGUCACGAUGACUGCCGGCUAGGGUGAAACGGCAGAGAUAAACUUCAGGGUUGCUGGCAGCCAGUUCAAGGCCAACGAAUCAACGAAUUGAGCGGGGUGUGGUGUUGCAGGCCUGUGAUACCAGCGUUUGGGAAGCAGAAACAGGGAGAUCAAAUCCAAGGUCAUUCUGGGCUACAAAAUGAGUUCAAGGCCAACCCUGGAUACAUAUACAAUAAAUAUGUCUUUAAACAGG
rnacentral:lncRNA from 1 species